rnacentral:miRNA from 1 species
GCAGCAAAGUUUGUCCUCCAGAGCUGUGGAGUGUGACAAUGGUGUUUGUUUCCUCUCUAUCAAACGCCAUUAUCACACUAAAUAGCUACAGUGCGGAAAGGACCUCAGU